CAUGUUUUUAAAGCAACCAAAACCAUUUUCGAACUCAUCCAAGAUAUCAUUGGGAAAUAUCUUCUGACCAAGUUUCAUGAUGAUGGGAAAAUAAAUGUGACCUCUAGAGUGUUAACAAGGUUUUACUAUAGCCAUAUAAGGAAAAUAGCCCUGCCCCUGUGGUGGCCAUGUUUUUCAACCAACCGGCAUCAUUUUUAAACUCGUCCAAGAUAUUAUUGGGAUGAAUCUUCUGAACGAGUUUCAUGAAGAUCAGACUAUAAAUGUGGCCUCUAGAGUGUUAACAAGAUUUUACUAUAGCCUUCUAUAGCCAUAUAAGGAAAAAUGCCCCGCCCCUUGGCGGCCAUGUUAUUCAAGCAAACGUAACCAUUUUCAAAGUCAUCCAAGAUAUCAUUAAGACAAAUCUUCUGACCAUAUUUCAUCAAGAUUGGACAAUCAAUGUGGCCUCUAGAGUGUUAACAAGGUUUUACUA